UGGCAAGAUUAAGGGGUCAUGAUCCGUUCCUGUAUUGUACGUCGGAUCAUAUUAGUUUUUUACUUUCCUGCGUUACCGCAGGAAGUUCUGUUGAGACCAUCUCAUGUCUACCCUGAGUGGCCGGUUCUGAAUUGGUACCAGUUCGAGCUUAACUGUUUGUUGAUCUAGAAAUUGUUAAAUUGUUAAUCUUUACUCCCCUGAAACCAGGGGGUGAUGCGAAUAAGACCCGACGUAUUUGGGGAUCAUGGCCCUCGUUCUCUUUAGGAUUUAACCUGGAGGAACUUGAGCAUCCAUUGCUACCAAUGGUGCACAGAUUUGUCAGUUAAAUCAAUCAUGUCGGCAUUCUGUUAUCAUGUCAGACCUCGUCAUUCAAAGUGAACUGUGGCCGUUAAUUCCACAUAAAUUGCUUGUUUGUUAUGCUUUGCCUUAAACUUGAUUCUUUAAUUAAAUAAG
rnacentral:lncRNA from 1 species